rnacentral:snoRNA from 1 species
AAGACUAUACUUUCAGGGAUCAUUUCUAUAGUUUCUGACUUGAGAAAUGUGUUUCUAAAGUGUUUGGUCUCGCCAACCACGAUGAUGAGGUGGUGAUAUUCUUUCUUGAGCGCGAAGCGGGCAGAGAGACUUGAUUUGUAUCAUACGCUCUUUGCUUUUGAUGACCGUUCACUGUCUCCUCUGGGGACUCUGAGGGAAAGAGUAUGAUCAGAGUGGU